AUGCCCGCGACCCACUCCAGCCCCUGCCCGGGUCUCUGGCGCAUCCAGCCCAUCCCAAAACUGCCGAAAUCGAAGCCCGAGGCGCGGCAGAGGAGGCGCAGGGACCCCCCGGGGGGCUGGAGGUCCCCCCCGGACUCCAGCAGGGUCACGGCCGCCCAGAAGGAGGCCCACCCACAUGGGAAGGAGGCGCCGGAUCCGGGCGUGGCCCGCGAUGGGCGUGGCCGGAGCUGGCCUCUCCCAUCCCCACGUCCCCUCUGUCCCGCAGGGCUCCGGGCGGCCGUGACCCUGCUGGAGUCCGGGGGGACCUCCAGCCCCCCGGGGGGUCCCUGCGCCUCCUCUGCCGCGCCUCGGGGUUCAAUUUCGGGAGUUAUGGAAUGUACUGGGUCCGCCAGAGACCCGGGCAGGGGCUGGAGUGGCUCGCGGGGAUCAGCAGCGGUGGUUGGACCGGCUACGCGCCGUCGGUGAGGGGCCGGGCCACGAUCUCCCGGGCCAACGGGCAGAGCUCGGUGACGCUGACCAUGAACGGCCUCAAGGACGAGGAUUCCGGCUCCUAUUUCUGUGCCAAAUAUGCCGGCCAGGGCUGGGGCAAA